rnacentral:rRNA from 1 species
GACGAACGCUGGCGGCGUGCUUAACACAUGCAAGUCGAACGGUAAGGCCCUUCGGGGUACACGAGUGGCGAACGGGUGAGUAACACGUGGGUGAUCUGCCCUGCACUUCGGGAUAAGCCUGGGAAACUGGGUCUAAUACCGGAUAGGACCACUGCCUGCAUGGGUGGUGGUGGAAAGCUUUUGCGGUGUGGGAUGGGCCCGCGGCCUAUCAGCUUGUUGGUGGGGUGAUGGCCUACCAAGGCGACGACGGGUAGCCGGCCUGAGAGGGUGACCGGCCACACUGGGACUGAGAUACGGCCCAGACUCCUACGGGAGGCAGCAGUGGGGAAUAUUGCACAAUGGGCGCAAGCCUGAUGCAGCGACGCCGCGUGAGGGAUGACGGCCUUCGGGUUGUAAACCUCUUUCAGCGCCGACGAAGCGCAAGUGACGGUAGGUGCAGAAGAAGGACCGGCCAACUACGUGCCAGCAGCCGCCGUA